GUAGGUGGCAAGCGUUGUCCGGAAUUAUUGGGCGGUAAAGCGCGCGCAGGCGGUUCGUUUAAGUCUGAUGUGAAAGCCCACGGGCUCAACCGUGGAGGGUCAUUGGAAACUGGAGAACUUGAGUACAGAAGAGGAAAGCGGAAUUCCACGUGUAGCGGUGAAAUGCGUAGAGAUGUGGAGGAACACCAGUGGCGAAGGCGGCUUUCUGGUCUGUAACUGACGCUGAGGCGCGAAAGCGUGGGGAGCAAACAGGAUUAGAUACCCUGGUAGUCCACGCCGUAAACGAUGAGUGCUAAGUGUUAGGGGGGUUUCCGCCCCUUAGUGCUGCAGCUAACGCAUUAAGCACUCCGCCUGGGGAGUACGGCCGCAAGGCUG
rnacentral:rRNA from 1 species